GUGGGGAAUCUUCCGCAAUGGACGAAAGUCUGACGGAGCAACGCCGCGUGAGUGAUGAAGGUCUUCGGAUUGUAAAGCUCUGUUAAUCGGGACGAAAGAGCCUAGUGUGAAUAAUGCUAGGAAGUGACGGUACCGGAAUAGAAAGCCACGGCUAACUACGUGCCAGCAGCCGCGGUAAUACGUAGGUGGCAAGCGUUGUCCGGAAUUAUUGGGCGUAAAGCGCGCGCAGGCGGAUCUGCCAGUCUGUCUUAAAAGUUCGGGGCUUAACCCCGUGAUGGGAUGGAAACUACAGAUCUAGAGUAACGGAGAGGAAAGUGGAAUUCCUAGUGUAGCGGUGAAAUGCGUAGAUAUUAGGAAGAACACCAGUGGCGAAGGCGACUUUCUGGACGAAAACUGACGCUGAGGCGCGAAAGCCAGGGGAGCGAACGGGAUUAGAAACCCGUGUAGUCC
rnacentral:rRNA from 1 species